rnacentral:tRNA from 8 species
GGGCGUGUAGCUCAGUGGAUAGAGCACGUGACUACGGAUCACGGUGUCGGGGGUUCGAAUCCCUCCUCGCCCG